rnacentral:lncRNA from 1 species
UGUAGCAGCGGCUGGUUUGUGGGAAUAUUUUCUUCAUUAUGAUUUCUCCUAGAAAUCAAAUGGUUGCUUGGUGAUAGCUGGGUUGGGCUGUUAUUUGUUAUUGACUGAGGGUAUGUGAAAGUGUUUUGUCCAGUAGGGUUUCCAGGAUAAGAAACAGAAUUGUUAUAUUGAAGUUGCUGCUGAGGGAUAGUGGGACUGUUUUCUUCACCGUGAUAUCCAUUCGAAAUGGAAUGGUCACUAGGUGGUUGCUGAAGUGGAGAAACCAACUGUUGACUUGAUUCCCCUUCAUCAGUAGCCAAAAUACCACGCUUCUUCUUCUUAUUCCGUUUUCUUGUUAUGCAACACAGAAUAAAUUCCUUCUACAUGAAUUAAAAGCAAAACCAAAAUAAGGAAUACCGUAUUGUCAAUUAAUUUUCACAUAUUCAUUAGCACUGCCAGAAUUGCUACUCGCCAAACAACAACAGACUCAUUCAUCAAGUCCUGCAAAUGCUUUUGGACAUGUAUUUCUAGUUGCAUUUUAAAUAAAGUCACAAUUUCUUUCAUCGUGAUGCGAAGAUCCUACCCAUUAAUGUUUCAAGUAAUAGGCAACAAAGAUAUAUACUUUAAGACUGCACUGGGUUAGCUAAUCCUAACAUAUAUCUCCAAUAGACACAAUAAUCUAGCAUGCUUCACCAAUUAAUCACUUCAAAAUCAUCAAGAAGAGCUAGCAUUUAUACAUCCAAAGAUUCAACAAUGCAUAAAAGAAAUGAACUUUUAAGUGAGUGACAAAAACAAAUUAGGUUCAUACCUUAUAACCGGGGUCGUCCUUGACAUGGUACUCAUGCAUACCCCACUCGGUUAUAGCUUCCUUAGGAGGAAGACCAUGACGGUAGAAAGUCAAAAACUUUUUGGUACCCGUAGGGCCGUUUCUAGCUUUGAUUUGAGAAUCUUUACUAGUAAUUUUCCAGUGCCCUGCUUUUGUUCUUCUGUGGGCACGGUUACUCUCCCUGUACUUGUAACAAGGUUCACAGAAGAAGUACCAAACUUGAUCCUCGGACUCUGGUGUUGAUUCCGCUGCGUCACAAAAAUAAAUAUGGCGCUUGCCAAUUAGUUCAGCUGAUAAAAUCUUUCAGUACAGAAGGUUAGAGAGAACAGAAGGGACAAAAAAAUAAAAGAUAUACAUACUUGCUAAGUCCCAAGGCUCAAGGCCGCAGAUAUCGACAAUAUCCUUGAUAGGGUGAUGUGAGAAGUGGGGGCUAAGCCUCUUCUCCACCAGAAGAUAGAGGAUUUGUUCAUUGGAUGGCUGGAAUUUGUACCCCAUAAGAUUCUCCAUCUCAGAAUUUUUUUUUUUUUUUUGGUAACUACUUUCUUCAAUCGUUAGUAGGGAUCUGAAAUCAACCCCCAAGAUUUCUCCAUCAUUAACUCUAAUUCAAUACAGUCGCAGCGGUAUCUCUCUCUGGUUCGAUGGGAAGAAAACUUGCCCCGUGAGAAAGAGUGAGCGGGUGAUAGUGUCGCCUUCUUUUUGCAGCCGAAAGAGUAAGCGUUAGUUAACUCCCUACAUUCUCAGGGCGUUGAGCUACAGUGAGACAACUUCAGCUUGUUUCACCAACGGCGUUGAAUAGAGUAUUACAAUUGAGUGAGCGACAGAAACUAAAUGACAUGAGACCCCAUCAUCAUCUUCUUACUGGUUCAGCAUCAUCUUCCCCACCCUCUUUAUGUAAGAACUAAUUUAUUCACUCAGAGAAUUUUCUAAAACGACAACGUUUGCCAGAUUCUAAUUUUGUCUUGUUCGUGCUUUCCGUUAUUUUUUCAACUCCCUUCCCUGUCCUGUAUGUGCUCAAAUCAUUAGUUAACUUCGUACAGUCAGCUUUCCACUGAAGAGUGUCUCCUUCUCGGAGGGGUUGUUAAUUUAUAUUAUUAUUUUUCAAAAUUAUCUUUCUUAAAAAUAAAAAUUAUAUUUUUAUUUUUAAUUACUAUUACUGCCCAUCUCCCGCCUCUCCCAGGGGUGACUUUUUAGAUAUAAACAAACAAAACGGUUAUUUAUAGUUUUAUAUUUUAAAAAAAUCUUAUUUUUUAAGUAUUUUUUAAUAAUUAUUUAAUUAAUGAAAUCUAUUUUUUAAUUAGGUAUUUUAAGAAAUAGGGACGCUUAUUAACCAUCUUUCUAAUUGUUAAUUAUUCCACUGAAGAAUUAUUUUUUAUAAAAAAUCUAUAUUCAGUAAUCUUAAUGUUAAAGAGAUUUAAUUAAUAAUAUUAUUUAACCAACAAUUCACUUGUUAUUACUCUUUUCAAGAAAAAAUUAAUUUAUUUACCUCUUCAAUUUUUUUAAAAAAAUUUAAUUAUUUAAUGUUAGAAUUUUUGACUUUUAGUAUUUCUUUUAAUUUCUAUUAAAGACCUUAUAAUGUCAAAAAUAAGCACAUGUAAAAUUUUAUUUCUCUUUUCUCUGCAAAGAAAAUUAUUAUAUUCAUUGGUUCAUUUAAAAAAGAUAAAAAUUAAUUUCUUAAAAUAGAAAGUUCAUUUCUAUUAUUUGAUCAGUAAUUCAUUGUCUCAGUUUUUUAUGUUCUAUCAUUCUAAAUAUUCUAUUUGAAAAUAAUGUUAUUCUUAUUUAUUUGUUUGUUUAUUUGUAAUGAUUUUAAUGGAAUGAAAAAGAUAUAUUCUUGACUACUUUUUAGGUUUAUUUUUGAAAUUUUUAAGUUAUUUUUUAUUAUUGUAUUCAAGAAUUAAAGAUUGAAUGAAUUUUAAGCUUCUUUUUAUAUUUCUUUAAGUAUUGAAAUUGUAAAAUGAAAAGAGACCUCAUAAAAAAAUUUGCCUUAAGACUUCAGAUGCUCUAAAAUCGGCCCUGGUAUCUCUCAAGUAUACCUAUUGCCCCCACUAUUUAUCUUCAUUAUUAAUAAGUUUAUUGUCACCACCUACUUUCUUUAUCAUCAAUCCAUUACCUCCAACAAUAUAUGAUGAGUUUUAAUAUUGAGUUUUUUAAAUGUUAUGAAUAUGUGAUGGGUUUUAUUGUUAUUAAUGAUAUUAAUUUGCUUCAUGUGAUAAUAUAAGAUUUUGUAUCAUUUUUGUUUGGGAUUUGAUUAAAAGUUAAAUAUUUGAUUCAAAUUUUAAAUCAACUUUAAAAAAAAAAAGGAGAUGAGAAGUUAAUGUAUUGAGAGAUUGAGAGAGAAGAUAAAAUAUUUAUUUUUAAUUAUUUUUAAUUUUCAAUAAAGGUAAUUCUAGAAUAAAUAAUAUUAAAUGAAAAGUGAAGGCCAAUGAAAUAUCUGGAGGGUUUAAGUAUCAAGAUUUCAAUUAAAAAAUUCAAGUAAUUUAUUUCUUUAAAGAUUGAUUUCGGAAUUUUAUUUUGUUCAAUAUUAGUAGAACCAAUGACAUGAAUUUUAGGAAGGAUGGUCCUAACCAUGGAAGCUAGAUCUUAUAUAUAUGUAGUUUUCAUUAAACUAUAUAUAUCUCUAAAUUUAUUAGAUUGGAAUAUAUAUCUCUAAAUUAUAACAAUUUCAAAACCAUAUUAGUAUACAAAGGAAAGCUCCUGCAGACCAAACCUAUAAACUCAAAUGAACCCUUGCCGAACAUCAUGUGAACUCCAAUCAAAAGAAUUACUGACGAGAAUAAUAACUUCUUCUAGUCUAUCCAUUGACUAAAAACAAUAUCUCCAUAAUGGAGACUCCAUUAUUGAAUGAGACGUCUACAAUGACAUAACAGUGGAAUCUAUGCGUGUGGUGUUCGGUUCAAAUUGAAGAAAAUUAUGCUCCGUAUUCUCGCAAUAUUAAGAGUUGCAGCCAUAUUUCGAUACCGCUAGCAGUAAUUUGGUGCACUGAAAGCCGUUACCACAUGUAGGAUUGUGCUUUAGUCUGCCAGAAAACAUGUAACUCGUCUGAGGCCGAUUUAAUAUUUUUCUUUUCUAGCAAUAAUUUUCUCGAGAGUUCACCCGAGGGUCGAGUAAUUUUCAAAUAAUUCUAUUUAGCCGGUCACUUGAAUUAGAAUUAUUAAAAAAGUCGUGGUUUGAAAAAUUGAUUUGAACUUUAUCUCUCCAUCUUAAAUUUAUAUUGUGUAUUAGUAUCUAUUCUUCUAAAUAUAAUAAACAUCAAAAUUGAAAAAUAAAUUUUAUUUUUGUAAACUAAAAUUCCUCAUAGAGCAUAAUUCGUAAAACAAACUAAACAUUUGAAAACUGAUUGAUAAUAAGAAAAAUAAAUGGAUAAAAGUAUGGACGCGUUGCCCAACGAUGGGACUACCAUUUUCCUUUUUGGCUCCUGCUCUGCUUUUACAGUUACAAAUGACCUUCCCUGCUUCCUCAGAAAGGUGUCCCCUUUUCCAAGAAGUAUUGCGCUUGGAUUGGAUAUUGAGAUUCCAGUGUUCCACAUUUCCACACAUGAUCAACUACGAUCCCAAAAAGAACUAAAAGGACAGAAAAACUUGACCUCAUGCUACACAUAGAUGCUGGGUACAGACCAAAUGGAGUAUCCAAUUAGUCUAAACAACAAUUACAUUAGUAUGUAACGAGUCUCAAAGAUUACCAGACAAUAUCACAUUAUCAACAAUAAUAGUACUUGCCUCCUAAGAGGAUUUCAUAAUUGUUUACAAUGCUGCUUAAGAUUACAAUACUUUCCUCCUAAGAGGUUUCAUAAUUGUCUACAUGCUGCUUAAAAUUAUAGUACUUUCCUCCUAAGAGGAUUUCAUAAUUAUUUACAUUCUACUUAAGAUUACAGAACUUUUCUCCUAAGAGGAUUUUUCAUAGUUGUUUACAUGCUACUUACGAUUACAGUACUUUCCUCCUAGAGGAAUUCAUAGUUUUUUACAUACUACUUAAGAUUAUAGAGUACAGAAUACAAUAAAACAUGAGUGAAGCAUUAUCCACCAGAUAGAUAUAGUAAACUUAACAAUAUUACCUCCGAGAGGAUUUGACUGUUGUUUUAAAUUUUGCUACUUAAGCAAAAUUCUCAAGUCGCUCUUUUAACCAUGCAUCGUUGUAAGCAGUGUUUGUGUCACUGCUAUCCUUUGCAUAGGCCGAAGCUUCUCCAUCUGACUUUGAUACGUUAAAGUCAGGGGAAAUGGUUUUCCCAGUCUCUUCGCGAGAGAUUUCAUCCAGGAAAGCCCUUAGGCAAUUGAGCAGCUGCUCAUCACUGUAAAUUUCAGAGUCAGAAAAAUCACAAUUAUCAGAAAAAGAAAAAGAGGCUUCAUUUAGCCUAUUGUUGCCACCGUAUGACUUCAAUUCUCCAAUUAGGAGACCUUUAUCUUUCUCAAGUAAUGGUUCUUUUACCCAUGCAUAGUUGUCAGCAGUGUUUGUGUCACUACUGUUCACUGCAUAAGCUAAAACUUCUCCAUCUGACUGUGAUGGGUUAAAGUGAGGGGUAAGGGUUUGUCCAGGCUCUCCGCAAGAGCUUUCAUCCUGGAAAGCCUUUGGGGAAGCAUCACUGAAAAUUUGACAGUCAGAAAAAUCACAAUUAUCAAAAGAACUAUUAGAAUAUUUUAAUCCUUGUUCUUGAGAAAUUGGUGCCUGUACUGCAGAAAAAGAGGCGUCAUUUAGCCUAUUGUAGCCACCGUAUGACGUGAUUUCUCCAAUUGGCUGACAUCCUUCCUGAAAGGUAUUUUCAGCAGAAUUAUGCAUCUCCAAAGGGUGAUGUAGUGGUAGCUGCCACUCCAAAUUGCUAUUUUGUGGCAGCAGGGAGUUUGUGGGACUAAAUCCUUCAAUUUGAUUUCCCAAAUGAGAAAUCAAAUUGUCAUUUGGCUGUGGCUGCUGGUUUAUGGGAACAUAUUCUUCACUAUAAUUUCUCGCUGAAAUAAAAUGGUCGCAUGGUAGUUGCUGAGUCGGAGAAUAAUUGGGCAUAACCCAAGGGUAUUUGAGUAAGUACAUAUUUUGUUCAAUGCGAUUUCCAGUAUAAGAAAUCGAAUUGUGAUUAGGUAGUUGCUGAGGGUAUGUGUGAGUAGUUCCUUCACUAUGAUUUCCUACACAAGAAAUCAAAUUGUGAUUUUGUAUUUGUAGUAGCGGCUGGUUUGUGGGGAUAUUUUCAUCAUUAUGAUUUCUAUUAGAAAUCAAAUGGUUACCUGGUGAUAGCUGGGUUGGGCUGUCAUCUGUUAUUGACUGAGGGUAUGCGAAAGUGUUUUGUAAAUUAAGAUUUCUAGGAUAAGAAAUGGAAUUGUGAUAUUGAAGUUGCUGCUGAGGGAUAGUGUGAGUGCUUUCUUCACUGUGAUUUCCAUUUGAAAUCGAAUGGUCACUAGGUGAUUGCUGAGGUGAAGAAAC